UAUUAUAGUCCAACCAGCAACCAAAAGUGGUCUGUUCUCAUGCAUUACUACGAGUAGGUAGUAGAAUGGAAGAAACUUGGGCACAAAACUGAGGAGCUUGUUCAUUUAUAUGUGUCAAGGAGUAGCAUUCUUUCACCUGUCUAAGUAUAGUGUGUAAAUUAGUGUAAAGACAAUCAACACAAAGUGAAAAUUGGUAUACAAUUAAAUUCUG